rnacentral:rRNA from 1 species
GACGAACGCUGGCGGCGUGCUUAACACAUGCAAGUCGAACGGAAAGGCCCAGCUUGCUGGGUACUCGAGUGGCGAACGGGUGAGUAACACGCGGGUUAUCUGCCUUCCUCUUUGGGAUAAGUCCGGGAAACUGGGUCUAACUCCGGACAUGAUCUACUGUCGCAUGGUGGGUGGUGGAAUGCUUUUGCGGUUGAGGAUGGGUCGGCGGCUAAUCAGCUUGUUGGUGGGGUAUUGGCCUACCAAGGCAACGACGGGUAGCCGACCUGGGAGGGGAGUCGGCCACACCAGGACUGGGACACGACACAGACUCGAAUGGUAGGCAACGGUGGAGAGUAUUACACAAGAGACGCGAGCCAGGUGUGACGACGCCGCGUGGGGGAUGACGGGCUUCGGGUAGUGAACCUAUGUCACCAGAGACGAGACGAGAGUGACGGUACCUGGAGAAUAAGCACCGGCUAACUACGUG